rnacentral:rRNA from 1 species
UAGCGGAGGAAAAGAAACUAACAAGGAUUCCCCUAGUAGCGGCGAGCGAAGCGGGAAAAGCUCAAAUUUGUAAUCUGGCGUCUUCGACGUCCGAGUUGUAAUCUCGAGAAGUGUUUUCCGUGAUAGACCGCAUACAAGUCUCUUGGAACAGAGCGUCAUAGUGGUGAGAACCCAGUACACGAUGCGGAUGCCUAUUACUUUGUGAUACACUUUCGAAGAGUCGAGUUGUUUGGGAAUGCAGCUCAAAUUGGGUGGUAAAUUCCAUCUAAAGCUAAAUAUUGGCGAGAGACCGAUAGCGAACAAGUACCGUGAGGGAAAGAUGAAAAGCACUUUGGAAAGAGAGUUAACAGUACGUGAAAUUGUUGGAAGGGAAACACAUGCAGUGAUACUUGCUAUUCGGGGCAACUCGAUUGGCAGGCCCGCAUCAGUUUUUCGGGGCGGAAAAGCAUAGAGAGAAGGUAGCAGUUUCGGCUGUGUUAUAGCUCUUUAUUGGAUUCGCCCUGGGGGACUGAGGAACGCAGCGUGCUUUUUGCAUGAGCUUCGGCUUAUCCA